UACGUAGGAGACGAGCGUUGUCCGGAGUUACUGGGCGUAAAGCGUGCGUAGGCGGUUAUUUAAGUCUGUUGUGAAAUCCCCGGGCUCAACCUGGGAAUGGCAAUGGAUACUGGAUAGCUAGAGUGUGAUAGAGGAUGGUGGAAUUCCCGGUGUAGCGGUGAAAUGCGUAGAGAUCGGGAGGAACAUCAGUGGCGAAGGCGGCCAUCUGGAUCAACACUGACGCUGAGGCACGAAAGCGUGGGGAGCAAACAGG
rnacentral:rRNA from 1 species